rnacentral:ncRNA from 1 species
GCAUGCGUUGAUUACGUCCCUGCCCUUUGUACACACCGCCCGUCGCUACUACCGAUUGAAUGGCUCGGUGAGGCCUUCGGACUGGCCCAGGGAGGUCGGCAACGACCACCCAGGGCCGGAAAGUUGGUCAAACCCGGUCAUUUAGAGGAAGUAAAAGUCGUAACAAGGUCUCCGUAGGUGAACCUGCGGAGGGAUCAUUA